GGUAGUUUUCCAGUGAGGCACUUUGGAAUCGGGCUCCCUCCUCUCUGAUUCCUGGGGCGUCACCUGAGAACCACA
rfam:Myotis davidii contig176657, whole genome shotgun sequence.